rnacentral:lncRNA from 1 species
AUUUACCUGUCUGAAGCCUAAUUUGUAAGAUAAUAAAACCCACAUCUGCACCAUGACUUCCUGGACAUGUGAGCAGAGUGAAGCCACUGGUUGUGUCCAUUUCUCAAGAAAGUUACAGCAUUGGACAGAGAGGAAGACCGGGUGUAUCCAGCUAACCCUCUGGCAGUUUUUAAUGCAUAUGACUGAGACAGAGCAAGAGACAUGGAGAAGAAUUUCCCUGGGCCUUGAACAUGCACAGGAGCAGAAGUUCAGGAUCAGUGAUGCCAGGUCGGAGAUAAGAAGUAGAUGCCAAGAAAUAGAGCUGAAGAAACCAAGGCAUAGAAAGUUUGAAUCUUGGACCCACGAUCACAUAGGAAAUCAGAGGAAACAACAGAAAGCUUGGACGUGCUCUGCCUCUAUCCCUCUCUGUCAGCAGCUCUUGCCAGAGCCCAGUGAUGCUGAAACCCAUCAGAUUCAAGUUCUCUGGAUGGUGCUCGCCCAACACCUAUGGACAGGCACAAUAUUUCAAUGGUUUCAAGAAGGUAUCCUGGGAGAAGUGAACUGAAAUAUGGAGGAUGCCUUGGAAGAGGAAGGAGCUAGAAGAGAGCAUGGUGAAGUCUGUGGCCAGAGUGCUGUGGAUGGAGAAGGGAUGGAAGGAGGGAAUUCAGAAUUUCAGCGUCCCAGGAAAGCUUCGGUGUGCUAAAAGAGAAUGGAAGCAUUGAGAGCGUUUCACACGGCUCAGGAACCCUCCAAGAGGCGACGCCAGUUCUCCACGACAGUUACCUGUUCAACGGAACUUAACUAACACACCUGUGUAUCAUCCCUGCAACAUACACGUUCCGAGGAGGUGAUGAGAAAUGACCAGGAAGACACUUCACACUCAGUAGGCUAAGGUAGCCCAAGAUUAGGAAACCUCUAUCUUUCAAGGAAGACUGCUGGGAAACAUCCCAACAUUUACUCCAAAGGGAGGCAUUGCAUCUGUCCUGGUCCUGACCAACAAAUCUUUCCUCUCGUCUGGAGGAAGACACUAGCUCUGUGUUCUAAGGCUGUUUGCAAUACAAAUAUCCUUCAAAGGCUAGAG